AGAGUUUGAUCCUGGCUCAGGAUGAACUCUAGCUACAGGCUUAACACAUGCAAGUCGAGGGGCAGCAUUUCAGUUUGCUUGCAAACUGGAGAUGGCGACCGGCGCACGGGUGAGUAACACGUAUCCAACCUGCCGAUAACUCGGGGAUAGCCUUUCGAAAGAAAGAUUAAUACCCGAUGGUAUAAUCAGACCGCAUGGUCUUGUUAUUAAAGAAUUUCGGUUAUCGAUGGGGAUGCGUUCCAUUAGGCAGUUGGUGAGGUAACGGCUCACCAAACCUUCGAUGGAUAGGGGUUCUGAGAGGAAGGUCCCCCACAUUGGAACUGAGACACGGUCCAAACUCCUACGGGAGGCAGCAGUGAGGAAUAUUGGUCAAUGGGCGCAGGCCUGAACCAGCCAAGUAGCGUGAAGGAUGACUGCCCUAUGGGUUGUAAACUUCUUUUAUAUGGGAAUAAAGUUUUCCACGUGUGGAAUUUUGUAUGUACCAUAUGAAUAAGGAUCGGCUAACUCCGUGCCAGCAGCCGCGGUAAUACGGAGGAUCCGAGCGUUAUCCGGAUUUAUUGGGUUUAAAGGGAGCGUAGGUGGACAGUUAAGUCAGUUGUGAAAGUUUGCGGCUCAACCGUAAAAUUGCAGUUGAUACUGGCUGUCUUGAGUACAGUAGAGGUGGGCGGAAUUCGUGGUGUAGCGGUGAAAUGCUUAGAUAUCACGAAGAACUCCGAUUGCGAAGGCAGCUCACUGGACUGCAACUGACACUGAUGCUCGAAAGUGUGGGUAUCAAACAGGAUUAGAUACCCUGGUAGUCCACACAGUAAACGAUGAAUACUCGCUGUUUGCGAUAUACAGUAAGCGGCCAAGCGAAAGCAUUAAGUAUUCCACCUGGGGAGUACGCCGGCAACGGUGAAACUCAAAGGAAUUGACGGGGGCCCGCACAAGCGGAGGAACAUGUGGUUUAAUUCGAUGAUACGCGAGGAACCUUACCCGGGCUUAAAUUGCAUUUGAAUAAUCUGGAAACAGGUUAGCCGCAAGGCAAAUGUGAAGGUGCUGCAUGGUUGUCGUCAGCUCGUGCCGUGAGGUGUCGGCUUAAGUGCCAUAACGAGCGCAACCCUUAUCUUUAGUUACUAACAGGUCAUGCUGAGGACUCUAGAGAGACUGCCGUCGUAAGAUGUGAGGAAGGUGGGGAUGACGUCAAAUCAGCACGGCCCUUACGUCCGGGGCUACACACGUGUUACAAUGGGGGGUACAGAAGGCAGCUACCUGGUGACAGGAUGCUAAUCCCAAAAGCCUCUCUCAGUUCGGAUCGAAGUCUGCAACCCGACUUCGUGAAGCUGGAUUCGCUAGUAAUCGCGCAUCAGCCACGGCGCGGUGAAUACGUUCCCGGGCCUUGCACACACCGCCCGUCA
rnacentral:rRNA from 1 species